rnacentral:lncRNA from 1 species
CGCCUCAUUCAUCUUGCUUGGGUUCUGAUUUUAUUUUUUCCGGCGACUCAAUUUGGAACCCUCCUGAAAAUCUUCUUUCCGGUCUAUGUUGGGCCAAGUCCGAGGGCUAUAGAUCAUGGGCUUCUCUGUUAGAUUAGUAGGGGGUAAUGAUCUUUGUGUGCUGUGGUUUUGGAAGCUGAUCUUAAAUGGAGGAUCGUCUAGGGGCUCAAGGUAUGGAAUUUUGGAUCUUGAUGAUUUUAUGCUGGUGGUUUGUGCCUGUAAGAAGGCCUUCAUGUGUAUAGAUCUAGUUUAUUUGAGCUUAUUGAACAUCUUAUCCAUAAAUUAGAUCUGGUACCGUGCUAUGCUUUUGGGCAUCUCGGUUGCAAAACUCUCAAUCAAAUCUAUUUUGUGUUAUUGUUAAAUCUUUAUUAUAGAUAUGUUGGGCGUUGUUUUAGUCAUUGAUGAAUUCCGUUCUGGGCUCCUUGUCAAUUCAGAAUCUCUCUUGGCUGGUGUUUGUGUUUGAUUUGAAAUCCCAUGUGCUUAUGGUUUCCGGUGGGCUACUGUUUUGCCGGAGGAAUUUGGGAGAAAAAUCAGAGGAAAGUUGCCGCUAUUCACGUGAUUGUGUUGUUGCCAGCUGGUUAAUGGGUCCCAUUUCAUUUGGGUUGUUUAAAUUUCAAAUUUAACUAGCUGAUUUCAUUUGGGCACAUUAGCUUUUUGCCUACCUUCACGUGGGAUGGGAUUGAUGAUGUCUGUUAUGUCCUUGACAUGUUAACAAAUGGAUCCAUUGAAGACUAACCGUGAGGGUCUUGGGCCAUGGUUUGGGCUGAUAUUGUUAU